GGAUGUGAUCAUACCAGCACUAAAGCACCGGAUCCCAUUAGAACUCCGAAGUUAAGCGUGCUUGGGCGAGAGUAGUACUAGGAUGGGUGACCUCCUGGGAAGUCCUCGUGUUGCAUUCC
rnacentral:rRNA from 1 species